GUUCAAGACUAGAGUUGGAUGGUUCAUACACUAGAAAGUUUUUGUGCUUCAAAUGAAGGUUAUCCUCUUUGAUGCAAAUGUUCCUAAAGAAUGAGAACACAAUCAUGUCAUACAUAUGUAGACAAGCAAAGUGGCUUUAUUAGGUGUAUAAGGAUCAAAGUAUUUUAUGUUUAGCUGGUGAAAUGAGUGCGGAAAAGCUGCCUUUCGUAAUGUUGGAGUCGAUGUUGAUGAUGAUAAAAUUGAGUUGCUCUUGUCUGAGGUCAAGGGUAAGAUAUUAUUGAGUUGAUUGCAUUCGGAAGGAAAAAGUUGGCUUCAGUUCCUUCAGGCGGUGGUGAUGUUGCCAUUGCCGCAGCAGCCGUUGGUGGUGCUGCACCUGCAGCAGCAGCAGCUGAGUCAAAGAAAGAAGAGAAAGUUGAGAAGAAAUAGGAGUCUCAUGAUGUAAGUUUUUUCCUCCUUUUGAUAAGUAGUUUGUUGCUUAUUUCAAAAAGUAGAUCAAAUAAAUCACCCCAAAGCUUGAUGUCAAGCAACAAACAUUCUUCAAGAAAAACAAUAAGGCUGCAACAAAGAAUCUACAGGCUCAGUGAAAUCAUUGUUUUAUUUAGCAAACAACCAAUUAAGUUGUAUCCAUUAGAUGUAAUUUUCUAUAUUUUAUAUAGUUUUGUUAGAUUUUUUUUUGUUUGGUUUGAAUGAAGCUUUUGGAUUCAUAUUCAUUGAAUUUGUGUAAUUAAUAAUAAGUUCU